CAAUAAUCAAGAGGGAAGCAGUUCUUCUCAGGGUGAUCGAGUUCAUCAUGUGGAAAAUUAUGUUGUUACUUAUAAUGGAGAGGACUUGAAUAUGACAGAUGUUGAAUAUGGAGGAAGAAGUGAAGGAACCUACCACCAGAACACUGCUGAAAUACGAUUGAGAGCUGCAAAUCAGAGAGGAAAAAUGAUUUUCAGGGAAUCAAAGUUACUACUACUGGUCCAUCUAAAACAUUUCUUGGAUGUGGAAAGGAAUUUGUAGAGGACUGGAGUUGAUUAAAAAAUACUAUUGUUGGGAAAUUGGGAUGGUACUUCCAUUGAAAUAUGGAAGGAUAAAUGGGUGCCCACUAUUGAUGCUCAUCUUAAUGCGCAAUUUAGAGGAGCACAAUCCUACUCUGGAAUAGCUCAAGAUGAAGAGCAAGCUGAAGCCUUAGCAGCACUAGCAGCAAUUAAGUGGGCAAGAGAUUCAGUUGUGGAAAAACUGCACUUGGAGGGUGAUUUCCAUAGUGUAGUAAAAGCUAUCAUGGUGAUGUAAGAAGUAUUAGAUGGACGAAUAAUAAUGUCAUUCAGGACUGUCGAAGUCUUUUAGUUAGUUUCAGAGAUUGAAAGUGCACUUUGGUGCAUAGAGAGUCGAAUGAAGUGGCUAAUAGUAUUGCUCAAAAGGCUAGAAUUGAUAGGAUUGAUCAGUCAUGGUUAUCUGAUUAUCCAUUUUGGUUAAAAUCUCUUGUUAGAGUAGAACUUAAUGUAACUAUUCACUGAAUAUUUUUAAUAGAAUUUCUGCUUUCUUAUUAAAAAAAAAGUUGAUGCCUAUAUGACAUGGAACCAUUGUUUCGUGGGUGUA